AGCGAACGCUGGUGGCAGGCCUAACACAUGCAAGUCGAGCGGCCGUAGCAAUACGGCAGCGGCAGACGGGAGAGUAACACGUGGGAACGCGCCCUUCGGUUCGGAAUAACUCAGGGAAACUUGAGCUAAUACCGGAUACGCCCCUACGGGGAAAGAUUUAUUGCCGAAGGAACGGCCCGCGUCCGAUUAGCUUGUUGGUGAGGUAACGGCUCACCAAGGCGACGAUCGGUAGCUGGUCUGAGAGGAUGACCAGCCUCACUGGGACUGAGACACGGCCCAGACUCCUACGGGAGGCAGCAGUGGGGAAUAUUGGACAAUGGGCGCAAGCCUGAUCCAGCCAUGCCGCGUGGGUGAUGAAGGCCCUAGGGUUGUAAAGCCCUUUCAGCGGGGAAGAUAAUGACGGUACCCGCAGAAGAAGCCCCGGCUAACUUCGUGCCAGCAGCCGCCGUAAAAC
rnacentral:rRNA from 1 species